ACCAGGUUAGAAUUUGAAACCACCCUCUCAAACACGGCAAAUCGGCCUAUAUUCUACCAUCAUUAUACAUCCAAAAUUACCCAACCUAUUCAUUUCACCAAUAGCAAAGCAAAACAUAAACAUUCAAAUUCAAAAAAGUCCGUACCUUUGAAUUAAUUUCUGGGAAGAUUGUUGAAUUCCGCAAGCGGUCGCGAACACUUCAAACCUCCUUCAACACCAGGAAAGACAAAAGGUCGUUGGUUUCAUUCAGAGAGCUGGUGACCCGUUUCUUGGACUCGUGACCCAUGAAGAAGACCCGACAAUAUCUCCUCCGUCCGGCUAUUUCUCGAAGGCGGACCACCGGCGCUAGGAAUGUCUCGACAUCCCGACCAAGCCUAUGGCUUGGGUUUCCACCGAUGAGCUCCAACGAAGCCAAUUCGAAGCCGAGAAAUUUCUACGGUCUCGGCUGUUCUUCAGCAUUCUCCAGCGACUCCAAGCCGAUGACGACAUGCAAGGAUUAGUCUUCUCGUUGAGCUCUACGUUCUGCUGUUCAGAUUACAGGUUUAGAUUUCCUUUGGUCACUUCGAUCUUCAAUUGGAAUUCUGGGCUUGAGUUAAUGUAAGGAUAUUGGGCUAUUAUCCUUCAACACAUAACUUUCCCAAGGUUGCUAGGAGAACACAAGUUGCAUCAGACUAGGAAAAGGCUUCUCCAAGUUUCUCGAUGGCUCAAGGAAUCAAAGAGGCGUGCAAGACUUGAAGAGGAAAUCCGGGAGAAUCAUUCUCAUUGAUCUUGAG